AGCGAACGCUGGCGGCAGGCCUAAAACAUGCAAGUCGAACGCACCUUCGGGUGAGUGGCGGACGGGUGAGUAACGCGUGGGAACGUGCCCUUUGGUUCAGAACAACUCAGGGAAACUUGAGCUAAUACCGGAUGUGCCCUUCGGGGAAAGGAUUUAUCGCCAUUGGAGCGGCCCGCGUUGGAUUAGGUAGUUGGUGGGGUAAAGGCCCACCAAGCCUACGAUCCAUAGCUGGUCUGAGAGGAUGAUCAGCCACAUUGGGACUGAGACACGGCCCAAACUCCUACGGGAGGCAGCAGUUAGGAAUCUUGGGCAAUGGGCGAAAGCCUGACCCAGCCAUGCCGCGUGAAUGAUGAAGGUCCUAGGAUUGUAAAAAUUCUUUCACCGGGGAAGAUAAUGACGGUACCCGGAGAAGAAGCUCCGGCUAACUUCGUG
rnacentral:rRNA from 1 species